GACGAACCGAGCAAACGUUAUUCGGAAUCACUGGGCUUAAAGGGCGCGUAGGCGGGCCAUCAAGUCUGUGGUGAAAUCCCCAGGCUCAACCUGGGAACUGCGUCUGAUACUGGAUGGCUUGAAUCCGGGAGAGGGAUGCAGAAUUCCAGGUGUAGCGGUGAAAUGCGUAGAUAUCUGGAGGAAUACCGGUGGCGAAGGCGGCAUCCUGGACCGGCAUUGACGCUGAGGAGCGAAAGCCAGGGGAGCAAACGGG
rnacentral:rRNA from 1 species